rnacentral:rRNA from 1 species
GGCGAACGCUGGCGGCGUGCCUAAUACAUGCAAGUCGAACGCUUCUUUCCUCCCGAGUGCUUGCCCUCAAUUGGAAAGAGGAGUGGCGGACGGGUGAGUAACACGUGGGUAACCUACCCAUCAGAGGGGGAUAACACUUGGAAACAGGUGCUAAUACCGCAUAACAGUUUAUGCCGCAUGGCAUAAGAGUGAAAGGCGCUUUCGGGUGUCGCUGAUGGAUGGACCCGCGGUGCAUUAGCUAGUUGGUGAGGUAACGGCUCACCAAGGCCACGAUGCAUAGCCGACCUGAGAGGGUGAUCGGCCACACUGGGACUGAGACACGGCCCAGACUCCUACGGGAGGCAGCAGUAGGGAAUCUUCGGCAAUGGACGAAAGUCUGACCGAGCAACGCCGCGUGAGUGAAGAAGGUUUUCGGAUCGUAAAACUCUGUUGUUAGAGAAGAACAAGGACGUUAGUAACUGAACGUCCCCUGACGGUAUCUAACCAGAAAGCCACGGCUAACUACGUG